GAGAAGGGUCAAGAGACAUAGAAAUUGCUAACUAUCUAUAACUGGGGUUAAAAUCCUUAGUCUACUCA
rnacentral:tRNA from 1 species